rnacentral:rRNA from 1 species
UACAGAGGUCCCAAGCGUUGUUCGGAUUCAUUGGGCGUAAAGGGUGCGUAGGUGGCGUCGUAAGUCGGGUGUGAAAUUUCGGAGCUCAACUCCGAAACUGCAUUCGAUACUGCGGUGCUUGAGGACUGGAGAGGAGACUGGAAUUCAUGGUGUAGCAGUGAAAUGCGUAGAGAUCAUGAGGAAGACCAGUGGCGAAGGCGGGUCUCUGGACAGUUCCUGACACUGAGGCACGAAGGCCAGGGGAGCAAACGGG